UAAAGCAUAAAUCAUUUUAAAGAAAUAUUUAAAAAUCAAAAUUCAAAAUAAAUGUAUUAUAAUAUAUUUAAAUAAUUAAUAUAUAAAUAUAUUGAAUAUUAUAGUAUAUGCUAAUCAAUUAUAUUUAAUACAUAUAUACAGUUGUUAUGAAUAAUAAUACUAAUUCUUUAUUAUGAAAUGAAAUAUGUAUAUAUAAAAAUAAAAGCCAAUUCAAAAUAUAAAUAAAUACUAUAAUAGCACAUAAAUAAUAUUAAAAUAACACUAAAUCUGUGUCACUUCUAAUCAGUGUCUCAAUGAUUAUAGUGAAUUAAUUUUUUUUUUACAGCUGGUUAAAUAUAUUAUGAAUUUACGCGUGACCUUUCCAACAUGAUUACGUAAUGUGUGGCGCAUCACAAAGUAGUGCAAGACGAGCAUUUGUGGUUAAAAAGUAUAUAAUUUUUUAUUUUUUUUAGAAAAUGGCCGAUGGUUUCUCUAGAUAAGACUCUUUUUCCUCGUCUGGGAUCGUGUAGAGCUCUUUGAAGCUGCACUGAAACUGACAUUUGGACCUUCAACCCGUUGAACCCCAGUGAAGUCCACUAUAUGGAGAAAAAUCCUGGAAUGUUUUCCUCAAAAACCUUCAUUUCUUUUCGACUGAAGAAAGAAAGACAUGAACAUCUUGGAUGACAUGGGGUCCGCAUCUGUCCUGCGGAGGGCGCUGUGCACGGCUGUCCUGAGACGCUCCAGAAAUCCAGUGACCUCAGGAUGUCUGGAUGGGAGACCAGGCUUAAGUGUCGCUCUCUCUUUCCGCAGUUCCUCCAAUUUCUUCCCAAAGCGCUCGGCUGAACACACAAACACUAUUUAGACUUGUCUUUCUUUGACGGAGUAAAGCUCAAGCCAAACACAAAUGUACACCUGUUUCCGGUCAAUUUAGGUCAAACUCAAUACAAAAACAUUAUAAAAAUGCUAAAUUCAUCCUGCGUCAAAAUAAAUAUUCAUAACAAACACAGACAGAUUUAUCGGCUAAUAUAUCGGUUAUCGGCUUUCAAAUAUAAAGAAUUAUCGGUUAUCAGCAUCGGCCAAGAUUUUCAUAUCGGUGCAUCUCUAAUUAUUUUAUGUUGCUUUAUAUUAUGUAUGAUAUGUAUGUACUUUGUACAGCACUUUGGUCAGCUUAGCCAUGUUUAGAAAUGCUAUAUAAAUAAAUUCUAUUUACUUGCUAUUUAAUUUUAAAAACAGCCAAAUACCAUCAUUUAAAUCGACGCUGCAGGAAAUGUCUGUGUUUGAGAGUAUAAGACAGCAUAAAACAAACACAACUGACCCACUUUACACACACACACACACACAGAGAGAUCAGGGUCUGGGAAAAGUCCAGUUAUGUAAGUCACAAGGUUUGUUGGGCUCUAAAGAGGGGAAAAAGGCUUCCAGCUGACAAAUGUAGGUCAAUCAUCUGAUCAAAUUGAAGAAGUAGUUUUACAAGAUCACAUGGUGAAGAUGUAGAGGGACUCUUUUGGGUAACUAAUGAAGUAAGAGAUAUAGAAAUUAAGACUAUUUUCUUUCCAUAAUAAAAUAAAACCAUACAAGUCAUGUCUCCAUGAAAAGCACACUGGUACUGCAUGAUGACCAGCAGAUGGCGCUGUUUGACAAUGAAUCACAGAACUGUCUGAAAGUUAUGGACUAUUAAUAAUGUACUACAUACUGUACAGUAAAUACAGUGUACUGUCUAAUACUGUUUAAAAAUAGCAUGUGAAACAGCACACAUGCAAGAUAAAGAUUUAUUUUCCCAGCAUUAAAGUCAAUCAUGAUUCAUGAGGGCCUAUUUCAUUAUAACUUUUAUUAUUACAUUAUAUACGAUUCAGAGUAAAAAAUAACAUAUUAAGCUUACACUGUAAGAAACAAAACAGAAAUAAAUGGUUAAAUCACAGUUAUUUGUGUGACAAUUAAUCGCAAGCACAAACUUCAUGUGACAGGCGUAAAUAUUCUUGCUCUCAAGUGAGCAAUCACAAGAUAAUGUGUUUGGUCUGGUUUGAGGUCAUCAUUGCUGAGUAUGGACAAUCAGCCGGGAGUGUUUGGGUGUGUUAACACGCCACAUAAAUGUGUUGAAACUGUUUUUGUCUUCUGUCAUCAGCUGUGGACUUAUUUGGACAUAAACUGGGCUGAAAUUCACAGAUACUUUAUGGAGUAGGAACAUCCUUUAAGAUUAAAAUGUGAAGCAAUGACAAGUUAUUUUUGAUGGUGCAUUAAAGGUGCAGUACACAAUUUCUGAGAA